rnacentral:lncRNA from 1 species
UCCCUCUUUAUCUCUAUGCAAUACAAAUGUUAACAGUCAAUGAUUUCAAUACAAAUAGUAACAAUCAGUGAUAUAUAUAUAUAUAUAUAUAAAUACAUAUGGUAGCACAAACACACAAGGUAACAAAUAAAAUACAAUACACAAGGCAACAAAUGAAUACAAAUAUAAUUUGUUACGAAGUACAACAAUGAUACAAUUGUAUUUGUCAAUACAAAUUGCGUUUGUUUAUGUACUUGAUACAAUUGAUUUGCAUCAACAAAUUGUAUACAAUAGUCUUUGAUACAAUUAUAUUCAUUAAUACAAAACAAUUGUAUUCAUGACACAUUUAUCAAUCAGAUACACAAUUAUCGAUCAUGUAUACAAUUCAAUUGUAUUUGUCUCUCCUUUCUCUCUCAGGUCUCGCUCGCCUCUCGCCUUCUUCUAGUAGCUAGUUUUUUUAUACAAAUCAAUUGUAUUCAUGAUACAAUUAUUUAUCAGCUCUCCUAUCUCGCCCAAAUCUUGUUCACUUCUCUCCUCUCUUUCCCAAUAUCGCUUGCCUCGCUCUUUCUUAUAAUAUAUAACUAUGAAUCGUAACUAAGCAAAUUAUAACUAAGGAGUUGUUUUUGAAAUUCCUCUUUAUUAAUUCCUUUGUUCAAGUCGGCUAGAAGUAACAAAUGAAUGAAACAAAUUUGGGUCAUUUAAUUGUCAUUUUCGAACAAGAAAAAGAACAUGGGCUUACCAACAAAUAACAAUGGACCGGUGGUUUGUAUCUGUACGCUAAAUCAGUAGAAGGCCCAAAUAAUCCUUGCAUUUUUGUGGUUUUAAGUCAAUUCAGAGAGGAUUGAGAGUCAUUUUGGGUGCGAUCAUAAUGAGUUAAGCUAAUAAUCGGGUCAAGACUUCACCCAAUUCAAAUGUGUUUGGGUCAAAACGAGUUAGGUAAUGGGUCGGGUCAAGACUCAACCCAACCCAAUUUUUACUAAGCUUAAUUGUUUUAUUUGUUCUUUUAAACUAUUUUAGUUCCUAAUAAAAUUAUUUUUUCUUUAUUACGGCUAUAUAUAACAUAAAAAUUUGAAAAAACAAAGUUUUUUAAAAUUUUCAUGAGCUAAUUCGGGUUACAUAUCAACCCAACUUUUAAUGGAUUGAGCUAAUGAAUGAGCGAGUUAUUGAUCCGCCCAAAUUUAAAUGGGUUGGACGGGUUGAAUUUGAUUUUGCCGCCCCUAAUUCCAGCUUCUCACUCGCUUAACAUAAAGUGAGAGGUACUCUCUCUAUCCCACGUAUACAUGUUCGAAGUGUCUAAAUAGUUCAUUUAGAUAUGAAUUGGAGUGUCUAAUUGAAAUAAGCUUGAGUUGAAGGUUUAAAAUGAAAAAUAAACCAAACGCUUAAUCAGAUGUUAUUCCAUCCUUCUUCAUUGAUCUACACAUUCACGCACUUUACAAUUAAGGAAUGAUGGUUAAGAGUCAAAUUCAAGAAUAUAUUUAUAUAUUUCGUCUUUAAUUUACUAAAACUUUAUCUGAAGUAGACAAUUCAUUUCCCCCUUCAAUUUUUAAUGUAUAUCGCAUUUCUAAGAGGGGAUGAAUCUUGUAAAAACAACAACAAUCUCUAAAUUUUUUUUGCUUUAUUGGUUAACAAAUCGAAUUUCACAUAAUUAAUUAAGCGAUGGUGACACAUAAAAUAGAUCGCAAAACUUAAUAAUUUAAUUUGGUAUUUUUCAUCAUGUUCCUUUCUAACACGCAUUUUAUAUGUAAAAAAUUAUUAAAAUUAUACUUAAUAAAUAAUAGAUGUAAAUUCAUAACAUUAAAAAUAUAAUAGAUUCAAGAUUAAGAUCCGGAGCUUGUUUGGAUUGACUUUCGGACUAUAUAUCAAAAGUUACAGGUUAGAAAUCAUAAUUUGUGGUGGUUUACUUAUUUUUAUGAUUUUGACUUGAACCAAGUUCUUAAAAACAUUUUUUUUAUUUUAUCCGAAUACUAUAAAAAUGCUUAAUAAUUAUUUUGACUUAAAAUAUUUCAAAUAAACCAAUCCAAACAAGCUCCAAAAACUUCAAAGACCGAAUUCAUAAAACUAAAAUUCUGAAUCCGCGAAUCAAUCUAUCGGUGAGAUACGCAAUCACCCUGAACCUUUUAAAACACUAAGGUCUAGUGUCUAAUUUGUGGUUUCCAUGUCUACAAUGUUCUAGGUCUAAAUUCAUUAAUACCUAAACCAUUGGAAAAACACAUGACGUAAAAUAAAUUCUUACUAAAAUACUGAGACACUUUCUAAUAUUUUGUUUGAAAAUAUUACUUUUUUUUCUCUCUUUUUCAUUAUUGAUCCAAUCAAAAUAUAUGUAGAAAUAAUAAAUACCGGACAUUUUUAGUGAAAAACAUCAAAUAUUAUUUUAGUAGUGAUUACAAUCAACUCUAAUACAUAGAAAUACAAAACAAUCCAAUAGAAUCAACCAACGUUGAUCUGACUUAUCAAUUGGAUAUACAAUUUCACCACAUAAGUUCAAGAAGCACUAACUAAUAUUCUUGACAUCAAGUACUUCGUAAAAAAAUAAAUUAUUUUAUUUAUUUUUUAAAAGUUUAGUCAAACAGACUAUAAAACUCACUUGAUCAGAACUAUCGUAGCCACCAUGAAUCACGUUUAUCCCUUGAACAUAAAUCAUCGAACUUGAAAACCAACGUACAUUUUCCAAGCUCGAUCGCGGAUGACUUCAACAAACCCCGGCAGAGUGGACAUGUUACGUGCCCAAAUCCAACCCAUCGUUCCAAGCAAACUCUAUGAAAGAUGUGAUUGCAUGUUAACUCUUUUACCUCUUCACCUUCUUCAACUUGACUUAAACACACUACACAUUCUACCUGUUGGCUUGUAAUAUCUCCAUUUGAAUGAUUUGAUUCAUAUCCCAAGUUCUCAAAAGGUAAAUUGAACAAUUUAGUAAAGAAGUGCCAAUACCUUUUGAAUUUUAGAGCAAAUAGAUAUGCAUAUUCCAUGAUAGAUUUUGGCAAGAUUGUCAACUAAUUGGAAGAUAUGUAAUUGUAGAGUGAGCUACAAAAGAAA